AUCCAGUUGACGAGUCUCUAAUGGGACGAAACGCUCUUCCUGGAU
rnacentral:hammerhead_ribozyme from 1 species